UACGUAGGGUGCAAGCGUUAAUCGGAAUUACUGGGCGUAAAGCGUGCGCAGGCGGUUCGCUAAGACAGAUGUGAAAUCCCCGGGCUUAACCUGGGAACUGCAUUUGUGACUGGCGGGCUAGAGUAUGGCAGAGGGGGGUAGAAUUCCACGUGUAGCAGUGGAAUGCGUAGAGAUGUGGAGGAAUACCGAUGGCGAAGGCAGCCCCCUGGGCCAAUACUGACGCUCAUGCACGAAAGCGUGGGGAGCAAACAGG
rnacentral:rRNA from 1 species